rnacentral:rRNA from 1 species
GUGGAAUAUUGCACAAUGGGGGAAACCCUGAUGCAGCGACGCCGCGUGAGCGAUGAGGUAUUUCGGUAUGUAAAGCUCUAUCAGCGGGGAAGACAAAUGACGGUACCUGACUAAGAAGCACCGGCUAAAUACGUACAAGCAUCCGCGGUAAUACGUAUGGUGCAAGCGUUAUCCGGAUUUACUGGGUGUAAAGGGAGCGCAGGCGGUACGGCAAGUCUGAUGUGAAAGCCCGGGGCUCAACCCCGGUACUGCAUUGGAAACUGUCGGACUAGAGUGUCGGAGGGGUAAGUGGAAUUCCUAGUGUAGCGGUGAAAUGCGUAGAUAUUAGGAGGAACACCAGUGGCGAAGGCGGCUUACUGGACGAUUACUGACGCUGAGGCUCGAAAGCGUGGGGAGCAAACAGG